AAGACAAGGGUGGCUGGGACACACUGCUCUGUGCUGACACCCACCACUGUGCUGUGGGCGUGCUGGCCAGAGAAAUGCGCCGCGCAUCCGAAGCCGUGUGUUCCGCGAUUGCAUUCCAGCUGCUCGGGCUGCUCAGCAAAGACACGCCAUGCCGGGAUUUGGCCGCCCUGGCGUUCCUUGUGGAGGUGAGCCUGAAGGCCAGCGCUGCCUCGCUGAGCUGCCUCCCGGCUCUCUGCCCUCUCUUGGCCGCAGUGCCUGGGACGGAGCCCGCGCCCUGUGCUGCUGCCUGGGCCCGGCCCUGUGCGGUUCUGGGCUCCCGCCGGCCGCUCCCCCGUCACUGCCCUGUGCCUUUCAGGUCCUGGAGCGCCUGAACCUGAGUGAAUGCCGUGACAGCGUCCUGGAGUUCUUGUCAAAGAACCUGCAGAGCGAGUGCAGGGGGAGGCGUCGCUUGGCACUCAGAGGCCUCGUGGUGCUCGGCACCACCAGUGCCUCGAUGGCCAGAAGGAUGUGGAGCCUGCAUGAAAGGCUCGUGGAGCUCCUGCAGGAAAAUGACAGCGUCAUGCUCAGGAUGACCACGGUUCUCCU
rnacentral:lncRNA from 1 species